rnacentral:sRNA from 1 species
UAUUCUGCCCCAUGGGGAAGGAUGAGAAGCUUCGACUAAGGUUCGACUCGAGCGAAGCGAGAGAACGU